CUGGGCCUCAGUUCUCUCAGAAGUGACGAUGAAGAAAUAUGAGCCCUUUCCCGGCUCUAGACCGACAGCUCCAGUCAUAGCCUCCAACUGCAAGCAUCUACCUGUUCCAAGGUGCAUCCCAAUCCCUUCCUGUCCCAUCAGGCAAGAGCAGAGAUAGAGUUUUGCUGUGUUGCCCAGGCCAGAAAACGCAGUGGCUAUGCAUGGGUACGAUCAUAGUGCACUGCAGCCUCGAACUCCUGGGCUCAAGCCAUCCUCCUGCCCCAGCCUGCCAAGUAGCUGGGACGACAGGCGCGCCUGGAUCCUCUUGUGGGUUUUAAGAAAGGAAGGAAUUACUGGAGUCUGGAGGCCCGGCCCAGGCCUCCCACGCCCCCUGGCGGAAGGAACAGAGCUGUGUCCAGACCUGCACUGGAAUCUGUGGCCAACCUUCCCACCACUCUCCUCCCACCCGUCCUGUCUUUUCCUCUGACCUUAUUCAUUCACUCUUAACUGCACAUGCACUGGGUGCCAGGCGCAUGCCACGAGAUGGGGCGUGGAAGUGACUGAAAUUGUCCCUGUCCCAAGGUGCUCUCUGUUCACUC
rnacentral:lncRNA from 10 species